GCAAGUCGAACGAAAUCCAUGGAGUGCUUGCACUCCGGAAGAUUUAGUGGCGAACGGGUGAGUAACACGUGAGAAACCUACCUCGAAAUUUGGAAUAACUCAGGGAAACUUGAGCUAAUACCAGAUGCCCUCCUUUGAUCGAAUGGUCAGCUGAGGAAAGAUUUAUCGCUUUGAGAGGGUCUCGCGGCCUAUCAGCUAGUUGGUGAGGUAAUGGCUCACCAAGGCAUCGACGGGUAGCUGGAUUGAGAGAUCGAUC
rnacentral:rRNA from 1 species